UACGGAGGGUGCAAGCGUUACUCGGAAUUACUGGGCGUAAAGCGCGCGUAGGUGGUUUGUUAAGUUGGAUGUGAAAUCCCCGGGCUCAACCUGGGAACUGCAUUCAAAACUGACAAGCUAGAGUAUGGUAGAGGGUGGUGGAAUUUCCUGUGUAGCGGUGAAAUGCGUAGAUAUAGGAAGGAACACCAGUGGCGAAGGCGACCACCUGGACUGAUACUGACACUGAGGUGCGAAAGCGUGGGGAGCAAACAGG
rnacentral:rRNA from 1 species